GGAGGGUGCAAGCGUCAUCCGGAUUCACUGGGUUUAAAGGGUGCGUAGGUGGGUUGGUAAGUCAGUGGUGAAAUCUCCGAGCUUAACUUGGAAACUGCCAUUGAUACUAUCAGUCUUGAAUACCGUGGAGGUCAGCGGAAUAUGUCAUGUAGCGGUGAAAUGCUUAGAUAUGACAUAGAACACCAAUUGCGAAGGCAGCUGACUACGCGAAUAUUGACACUGAUGCACGAAAGCGUGGGGAUCAAACAGGAUUAGAUACCCUGGUAGUCCACGCCCUAAACGAUGGAUACUCGACAUACGCGAUACACUGUGUGUGUCUGAGCGAAAGCAUUAAGUAUCCCACCUGGGAAGUACGAUCGCAAGAUUG
rnacentral:rRNA from 1 species